AUUGAACGCUGGCGGCAUGCCUUACACAUGCAAGUCGAACGGCAGCACGGGUUCUUGCACCUGGUGGCGAGUGGCGAACGGGUGAGUAAUAUAUCGGAACGUACCUUAUUGUGGGGGAUAACGCAGCGAAAGCUGUGCUAAUACCGCAUACGCCCUGAGGGGGAAAGCGGGGGAUCGCAAGACCUCGCGCGAUUAGAGCGGCCGAUGCCUGAUUAGCUUGUUGGUGGGGUAAAAGCCCACCAAGGCGACGAUCAGUAGCUGGUCUGAGAGGACGAUCAGCCACACUGGGACUGAGACACGGCCCAGACUCCUACGGGAGGCAGCAGUGGGGAAUUUUGGACAAUGGGGGCAACCCUGAUCCAGCAAUGCCGCGUGAGUGAAGAAGGCCUUCGGGUUGUAAAGCUCUUUUGUCGGGGAAGAAACACCGGCUCUAACACAGUCCGGGAAUGACGGUACCUGAAGAAUAAGCACCGGCUAACUACGUGCCAGCCGCCGCGGUAA
rnacentral:rRNA from 1 species